rnacentral:rRNA from 1 species
GAUGAACGCUGGCGGCGUGCCUAAUACAUGCAAGUCGAGCGAGCAGAUAAGAAGCUUGCUUCUCUGAUGUUAGCGGCGGACGGGUGAGUAACACGUGGGUAACCUACCUAUAAGACUGGGAUAACUCCGGGAAACCGGGGCUAAUACCGGAUAAUAUUUUGAACCGCAUGGUUCAAUAGUGACAGACGGUUUCGGCUGUCACUUAUAGAUGGACACGCGCCGUAUUAGCUAGUUGGUAAGGUAACGGCUUACCAAGGCGACGAUACGUAGCCGACAUGAGAGGGUGAACGGCCACACUGGAACUGAGACACGGUCCAGAAUCCUACGGGAGGCAGCAGUAGGGAAUCUUCCGCAAGGGGCGAAAGCCUGACGGAGCAACGCCGCGUGAGUGACGAAGGUCUUCGGAUCGUAAAACUCUGUUGUUAGGGAAGAACAAAUUUGUUAGUAACUGAACAAGUCUUGACGGUACCUAACCAGAAAGCCACGACUAACUACGUGCCAGCCGCCGCCGUAA